UCGAGCGGUAACAGGGGGUGCUUGCACCCCGCUGACGAGCGGCGGACGGGUGAGUAAUGCUUAGGAAUCUGCCCAGUAGUGGGGGAUAGCCCGGGGAAACCCGGAUUAAUACCGCAUACGUCCUACGGGAGAAAGCAGGGGAUCUUCGGACCUUGCGCUAUUGGAUGAGCCUAAGUCGGAUUAGCUAGUUGGUGGGGUAAAGGCCUACCAAGGCGACGAUCCGUAGCUGGUCUGAGAGGAUGAUCAGCCACAUCGGGACUGAGACACGGCCCGAACUCCUACGGGAGGCAGCAGUGGGGAAUAUUGGACAAUGGGGGCAACCCUGAUCCAGCCAUGCCGCGUGUGUGAAGAAGGCUUUCGGGUUGUAAAGCACUUUCAGCGAGGAGGAAGGCCUUAAAGUUAAUACCUUUGAGGAUUGACGUUACUCGCAGAAGAAGCACCGGCUAACUCCGUGCCAGCAGCCGCGGUAAUACGGAGGGUGCAGGCGUUAAUCGGAAUUACUGGGCGUAAAGCGCGCGUAGGUGGUUAGGUAAGCGAGAUGUGAAAGCCCCGGGCUUAACCUGGGAACGGCAUUUCGAACUGUCUGACUAGAGUGUGGUAGAGGGUAGUGGAAUU
rnacentral:rRNA from 1 species